rnacentral:lncRNA from 1 species
GUCCGUUCCACUACUCUUCGCAGCAAACUCCGUCUGACCCUGGGCAGCCCACUGCCAGACGGUUACAAACGUCGCCAUCAAUCCGUUGCCUCCUCCGCCUAUAAAAGGGGGACCCAGAUAUGUUAUUCUAUAAGCUCAUUUCUUAUCUCAAAACUCUGCUAAAUUCUCCGUUCGAGCACUCCAUUCUUGUUGAGGCAGAGAACUGACUUG